rnacentral:rRNA from 1 species
UACGGAGGAUCCAAGCGUUAUCCGGAUUUAUUGGGUUUAAAGGGUGCGUAGGCGGUCUUAUAAGUCAGUAGUGAAAUCUCGAGGCUCAACCUCGAACGUGCUAUUGAAACUGUAAGACUUGAGUACAGACGAGGCAGGCGGAAUGUGUUAUGUAGCGGUGAAAUGCAUAGAUAUAACACAGAACACCGAUAGCGAAGGCAGCUUGCCAGACUGUAACUGACGCUGAUGCACGAAAGCGUGGGUAGCGAACAGG